rnacentral:lncRNA from 1 species
UACAGAAUUAACAGUUAUAAUGUAGAUUGUGAAUUUUUCUUGUUUGAAGCCAACUUAUCUCAAAUACAUUUACUUCUUUAUUUAAAGAGAAAUAUUAAGUUGAACUGUCUUCCUUGCUGUUCUCUAUCCUCUAGGGAUCUUUAUUUGCAACCUCUGUAUGAUGAUGUUCAGAAGGAUUUACCCUUUCACCAAACGUAUGUCUAAAGGACUUAAGUAGAUAUACAGUUUUAACUUAGUGAACACCUGAAGAAGAAAAUUCAGGGCUUUUAAGGCAAACUGUUGAAGACCGAACUGCUUACAUUAAUUUUCACUGGCCAACUUAACUACAGUUUUUGCUUUUUUUUAAAAGACAAUUGUCACUAGUAUUUCAGUGUAUUUUAUAUUCCUCAUGUCUCUAACAGUGUUCUGUGUGUUACUUUUAAGAGGAAAUACAAGGUUAAAGAUUAUAAUCUUCAGAGAGUUUGUCUUACUUUGUUUUAUGACACAAAUUAGAAACUUGCUUAGGAGAAAAUAUUGGUGAUUUUUUUUGAGGUCUUUGUGUGGCAGGUUGGAGCUUUUAAAACACUAAGC